CCUACGGGGGGCAGCAGUGGGGAAUUUUGGACAAUGGACGCAAGUCUGAUCCAGCAAUGCCGCGUGCAGGACGAAGGCCUUCGGGUUGUAAACUGCUUUUGUACGGAACGAAACGGUCUGCUUUAAUACAGUGGGCUAAUGACGGUACCGUAAGAAUAAGCACCGGCUAACUACGUGCCAGCAGCCGCGGUAAUACGUAGGGUGCGAGCGUUAAUCGGAAUUACUGGGCGUAAAGCGUGCGCAGGCGGUUAUAUAAGUCAGAUGUGAAAUCCCCGGGCUCAACCUGGGACCUGCAUUUGAGACUGUAUAGCUAGAGUACGGUAGAGGGGGAUGGAAUUCCGCGUGUAGCAGUGAAAUGCGUAGAUAUGCGGAGGAACACCGAUGGCGAAGGCAAUCCCCUGGACCUGUACUGACGCUCAUGCACGAAAGCGUGGGGAGCAAACAGGAUUAGAUACCCUAGUAGUC
rnacentral:rRNA from 1 species